rnacentral:lncRNA from 1 species
CGGCCGCUGCCUGCGCUGAGGUGCGUCGGUGCCCGGCCUCCCGCGCCCCUGCGCGCCGCGGCGUCUUCUGACUCGGCCGGCUCGCCCGUCGGUCCGCAGCGCGGCUGAGGAACCUUGAACAUAACUUCAAAAGAAGAUUUGAUUUUUACUUCUGGACUGCAUAUAGAAGGCCAUCAGAAUGUCGGGAGCCUCUGUGAAGACCGGUGCUGGGAAAUCCUACACGAUGAUGGGGAAACAAGAAGAGAGCCAGGCCGGGAUCAUCCCACAGUUGUGUGAAGAACUUUUUGAGAAGAUCAAUGACAACUGUAAUGAAGAUAUGUCUUACUCCGUGGAGGUGAGCUACAUGGAAAUUUACUGUGAGAGAGUACGAGAUUUGCUGAAUCCCAAAAACAAGGGUAAUUUGCGUGUGCGUGAACACCCACUUCUCGGACCCUAUGUGGAAGAUCUGUCCAAGCUGGCAGUCACUUCCUACACUGACAUUGCUGACCUCAUGGAUGCUGGGAACA